AACGAACGCUGGCGGCAUGCCUAACACAUGCAAGUCGAACGAGACCUUCGGGUCUAGUGGCGCACGGGUGCGUAACGCGUGGGAACCUGCCCUUAGGUUCGGAAUAACUCCCCGAAAGGGGUGCUAAUACCGGAUAAUGUCUUCGGACCAAAGAUUUAUCGCCUUUGGAUGGGCCCGCGUUGGAUUAGCUAGUUGGUAGGGUAAAAGCCUACCAAGGCGACGAUCCAUAGCUGGUCUGAGAGGAUGAUCAGCCACACUGGGACUGAGACACGGCCCAGACUCCUAGGGGGGGAAGCAGGGGGGAAUUUUGGAAAAUGGGCGAAAGCCGGAUCCAGCAAGGCCGGGUGAGUGAUGAAGGCCUUAGGGUUGUAAAGCUUUUUUACCCGGGAUGAUAAGGAAAGAACCGGGAAAAAAAGCCCGGGCAAACUCCGG
rnacentral:rRNA from 1 species